AGAGUUUGAUCAUGGCUCAGGAUGAACGCUGGCGGCGUGCCUAAUACAUGCAAGUCGAGCGAGAAUCAGUGAAGCAGAGAUUCGUCAAAGCGGAUCUGAGGAAAGCGGCGGACGGGUGAGUAACGCGUAGGCAACCUGCCCUUAGCAGAGGGAUAGCCAUUGGAAACGAUGAUUAAAACCUCAUAAUGCUGUUGAGACACAUGUCUUGACAGCCAAAGAUUUAUCGGCUAAGGAUGGGCCUGCGUCUGAUUAACUAGUUGGUGAGGUAACGGCUCACCAAGGUGACGAUCAGUAGCCGACCUGAGAGGGUGAUCGGCCACAUUGGAACUGAGACACGGUCCAAACUUCUACGGAAGGCAGCAGUAAGGAAUCUUGCACAAUGGGGGAAACCCUGAUGCAGCAACGCCGCGUGAACGAUGAAGGCCUUAGGGUUGUAAAGUUCUGAUCUGUGGGAAGAAGAAGUGACGGUACCACAGGAGAAAGCCCCGGCUAAAUACGUGCCAGCAGCCGCGGUAAUACGUAUGGGGCAAGCGUUAUCCGGAAUUAUUGGGCGUAAAGAGUGCGUAGGUGGUUACCUAAGCGCAAGGUUUAAUCUUGAGGCUCAACCUCAUUCUGCCUUGCGAACUGGGCUACUUGAGUGCAGGAGGGGAAAGCGGAAUUCCCAGUGUAGCGGUGAAAUGCGUAGAUAUUGGGAAGAACACCGGUGGCGAAGGCGGCUUUCUGGACUGUAACUGACACUGAGGCACGAAAGCGUGGGGAGCAAACAGGAUUAGAUACCCUGGUAGUCC
rnacentral:rRNA from 1 species